rnacentral:rRNA from 1 species
GGUCAACUCGGAGGAAGGUGGGGAUGACGUCAAGUCAUCAUGCCCCUUACGUCCAGGGCUGCACACAUGCUACAAUGGUCGGUACAACGGGACGCUACCUCGCGAGAGUGAGCAAAUCCCAAAAGCCGGCCUCAGUUCGGAUCGCAGUCUGCAACUCGACUGCGUGAAGUCGGAGUCGCUAGUAAUCCCGGAUCAGCAACGCCGGGGUGAAUACGUUCCCGGGCCUUGUACACACCGCCCGUCACACCACGAAAGUCGGCAGCACCCGAAGCCGGUGGCCCAACCAGUUUUCUGGAGGGAACCGUCGAAGGUGGGGUUGGCGAUUGGGGUGAAGUCGUAACAAGGUAGCCGUACCGGAAGGUGCGGCUGGAUCACCUCCUUUCGUAGGGAGUCAUACCGGCUUUGCCGGUGACAACCGNGUCGAUCACUGGAUAUAAGCUGCUCAGGUAUUCGUUGUCUGG